rnacentral:rRNA from 1 species
UACGAAGGGGGCUAGCGUUGCUCGGAAUCACUGGGCGUAAAGGGUGCGUAGGCGGCUUUUUAAGUCAGGGGUGAAAUCCUGGAGCUCAACUCCAGAACUGCCUUUGAUACUGAGAAGCUUGAGUCCGGGAGAGGUGAGUGGAACUGCGAGUGUAGAGGUGAAAUUCGUAGAUAUUCGCAAGAACACCAGUGGCGAAGGCGGCUCACUGGCCCGGUACUGACGCUGAGGUGCGAAAGCGUGGGGAGCAAACAGG